UCCCGAUAGAGAGUCGAAAGCCGUCGGAUUGGCUCGUGGCGACGUUUCUGUCUAGAUCCUUCGAGAAAAUUUCAAUCGCAAAUCUUUCCAACACAGUCCUUUUUCCAAUUUGUUUCCAGUCCUCUUCCCCGUACCUCUGAUGCCCCUGCUGGCCGCCGCCCUCCGAACGCACACCACCACCCAGUCCGCGGCAACGGCAUCGCCCGCGCCGAGGAGGCCAUCAGCUCCUCCUCUUCCUCGAGGGCCCCACCUACACACGGCGCUUUUCUCUUCCUCGACGCGGACACGACGGACAACGUCUCGGACCUGUCCCUCGGCCAGUUGGCCUCCGCCUCCACAUCUCCGUUGGCGCCUCCUGCUUCCCCUACAGGCAUCUGCGCCUUGCUCUCCUCGGCCCUCCAUGUACCGUGCAUCGCUAAGGAGCUCCCAUCCCUACCGCCGCCGGUGCGAGUGCCGCCAGCGCAGACCACGCUGGGUCAUUCCCAGGCCAUCACCAAAGAUGAAAGACCUCGCGUCCUCUCCUACCCACCAGGCCACCAGUGCCAUCAGGCUUCAAAUUUUACAACAGCACCAAGCUGAUGGAGAAUGACAAUGCAAAGCUACUGAUCCGCUCAAUUGGAGUUCCUCAACAAGGAAGGAAAGCAACUUGAGCUAUCAGCAUUGUCAAAGAUUUUCCUCUGUACGCUUGUGCAACUGAAAAGGUCAAAUAGCUUGACAAACAAGAGGUAAUAUAACUCCUUUGGUUCCUUCUGAAGACUUUAUAGGGCAACAAGGAACUUAGAAUGAAGUCGCUUCCAUGUUAAGAAACAGAUAGAUCUGCUGACCAAUUAUCGACCACCAGGGAUAUUCUCAUUUAAGUUUUGCAGUCUCUCCGUUUGGACUCUACCACUGAAAAUAAAAAGGUUGCCAGGUGUUAAUUUCACAGUUACAUGUUCUUCUAAAACCUGUGUCCAGGUAUUUGAAUUCAGAGUUUUAAGAAAGAGCAGAUUGCAAUGAACAUUUUAGCUCCUUAUUAAAUGGCAAACUGAGGCCACCCCAUGUUGCUAUCCCAUUUGAGGAAGUUAGUAGCAAUCCAACAAUUUCUGGAAGCAGCGACUGCGAUGCUCACUUUCUUUUACCAUUCAUAUAGAUUAAUCAAUUAAUGCUAAACAUAGAUAUACAUCACAUUUACCCAUAACUGCAUAUUUUUCUGUUAAUGUUUCUUCAUUAUGCAAACAAUACACACCAUGCUAAAGUAUUUCUGGCAGUGUACCCAAUAGGUUUCACUGCUAAAGUUAUUACAUAUUAACUGACAAAUGUACUAAUGAAUCUGUUAAGUAGUGCUUCCCCUCCCUGCCAUCCUUUUGUUUCAAGUAUCUGGCAGGGAGGGGAAGCACUACUUAACAGUCAAGAGAUGGCAGGGAGGAGAAGCACUACUUAACAGAAGGUGAGCAGCCGAGAGAUAGUGGACGGUUGGCAUGUUUGAUCGUUUCCUCUGCAGCAGAGUGGUCGACACUCAAGCAGUCCAAGGAAGUGGAUGUUCAGUCGAAACCCAGAAAAAUUUGGACACCACCUUUGGUGAAUACCGUUAACAUCAACUGCGAUGGAGCCUUCUCUUCAAGCACGUGAUCAGGUGGAUGGGGGUUUGCUAAGAAGUAAUUUCAUUUCGUAUAGUGUAGCUCAUAGCCGGCAUUCUUGUAAUAUGGCUGCUGAUGGCCUUGCUCCCCUUUGGGCGAGUUUGAGUCUGGGUACUGAUCCGACCUUCAAGGCGCUAUGGCACCCUAAACAAUCAUUUCACAAAUACCCCUACAUAUAUAGAUAGCAUGACAUAAGCUAUUACAACAAUUUAUGAUUGCUCCACAAAUUCUCAA